UACGUAGGGAGCAAGCGUUGUCCGGAAUCAUUGGGCGUGAAGCGCGCGUAGGUGGCUUCGUAAGUCCGUUGUGAAAGUCAAAGGCUCAACCUUUGAAAGCCGAUGGAUACUGUGAAGCUAGAGUACGGAAGAGGCGAGUGGAAUUCCUGGUGUAGCGGUGGAAUGCGUAGAUAUCAAGCGGAACACCGGUGGCGAAGGCGGCCUUCUGGACAGUGACUGACGCUGAGACGCGAAAGCGUGGGGAGCAAACAGG
rnacentral:rRNA from 1 species